rnacentral:rRNA from 1 species
AACGAACGCUGGCGGCAGGCCUAACACAUGCAAGUCGAGCGGACCUUUCGGGGUCAGCGGCGGACGGGUGGGUAACGCGUGGGAAUAUGCCCUUCUCUACGGAAUAGUCCUGGGAAACUGGGGGUAAUACCGUAUACGCCCUUUGGGGGAAAGAUUUAUCGGGGAAGGAUUAGCCCGCGUUGGAUUAGGUAGUUGGUGGGGUAAUGGCCUACCAAGGCGACGAUCCAUAGCUGGUUUGAGAGGAUGAUCAGCCACACUGGGACUGAGACACGGCCCAGACUCCUACGGGAGGCAGCAGUGGGGAAUCUUAGACAAUGGGGGCAACCCUGAUCGAGCCAUGCCGCGUGAGUGAUGAAGGCCUUAGGGUUGUAAAGCUCUUUCAGCUGGGAAGAUAAUGACGGUACCAGCAGAAGAAGCCCCGGCUAACUUCGUG